GACGAACGCUGGCGGCGUGCUUAACACAUGCAAGUCGAGCGGUAAGGCCCUUCGGGGUACACGAGCGGCGAACGGGUGAGUAACACGUGGGUGAUCUGCCCUGCACUUCGGGAUAAGCCUGGGAAACUGGGUCUAAUACCGGAUAUGACCAAGGACUGCAUGGUUUUUGGUGGAAAGGUUUACUGGUGCAGGAUGGGCCCGCGGCCUAUCAGCUUGUUGGUGGGGUAAUGGCCUACCAAGGCGACGACGGGUAGCCGACCUGAGAGGGUGACCGGCCACACUGGGACUGAGACACGGCCCAGACUCCUACGGGAGGCAGCAGUGGGGAAUAUUGCACAAUGGGCGAAAGCCUGAUGCAGCGACGCCGCGUGAGGGAUGACGGCCUUCGGGUUGUAAACCUCUUUCAGCAGGGACGAAGCGAGAGUGACGGUACCUGCAGAAGAAGCACCGGCUAACUACGUGCCAGCAGCCGCGGUAAUACGUAGGGUGCAAGCGUUGUCCGGAAUUACUGGGCGUAAAGAGUUCGUAGGCGGUUUGUCGCGUCGUUUGUGAAAACUCACAGCUCAACUGUGAGCCUGCAGGCGAUACGGGCAGACUUGAGUACUGCAGGGGAGACUGGAAUUCCUGGUGUAGCGGUGAA
rnacentral:rRNA from 1 species